rnacentral:ncRNA from 1 species
CGCUGUACAACUGGCGGAAGAUGCUUAAAUGGCAUUGUGGGAUAACCCACAGGGAGUACAGUUUAUAUUAAGAAAAGCCGACCGCCUGGGCAACG